rnacentral:tRNA from 1 species
GCUUCUGGGGCGCAAUUGGUUAGCGCGUUCGACUGUUAAUCGAGAGUUGGAAGUUCUAGCCUUCCCGGGGGGCG